rnacentral:tRNA from 1 species
GCGGGGGUACCCAAGUGGUCAAAGGGGCUAGAUUUUCCCAAUGGAGAUGUUGGGGAAAGGCCAAGCUUAGGACCUAGUGGACAAGUCCUUCCGGGGUUCGAGUCCCCGCCCCCGCA